UGCAUGUUUUUAUGACUUGUUGUUUGUGAUUGCAUGUUGGACAAUUUAUAAUCUGCUUUGAGUUUUGUUUGAGUUGUGUCCUCAAUUGACAAUCGUCCCCAACUAAUUAGCAAUUAGUGGCAUAUGGCAAAUGGACCAAUGGGGAAAGGCCAGGGGCAGAACUUUCUCUUUUUAAGUAGGAAGACAGAACACUGACUGGGGGAAGAAACCAGGAGAGCUGAGGAGAAACAAGGGGAACCGGGGAGCAACAAGGAAAACCGGGAAGAAACAAGACACGAGAGAAGGGAGAAGGAGCAAGGAAAGAAAGGCAGCAGCAGAGGCACCACCAUCAGCAGCAGAGGCAGCAGCAGCAGCAGCAGCAGCGGAGGGCAGGAGCAGACUCGCCACCACCAGCAGAAGCCGACGCACCACCAGAAGCCGCAGCAGCAGAGGGCAACUGGCAGUCAGACGUCCAAACCAGUGGACCAGGGACACGCAGGACUUCGCUCCUGCUGUGGUGAUGACCCUGGAUGGACUAUUUUAGCUCACUUUUUUUAUAUAUUUUAAUCUUCGUAUUAAAAUAAAUAUUUUUUUAGUCAUAUUUCCACCCCUGUCUCCUCCUGGGUCAUUGUUUUACUGCUCCCCUCCAAACAAACAAACCUUUGUUUUUAAUUAUUUAGAGUUCCUAGGUUCCUAGCUUUUACCUAGGUGGCGUUGUUGGCAACACUUUUAGUUUUUAAGAAGAAACCUCGGCCGCUGACAUACUCGUCACAUCAGCUUUUAAUUUAAUGAUUAAAAAUAUGAGCGCCGCGUCAUGAUGUGAAGGUAGUUACAAGUCAACCACAUAGAGACAUAUAUGGCUUUAUUCAAACCAUCUUUGAAGUAACUGGUUCUUGCUUCAAGGGGAAGUAAAACGUUCUCAACUUCCUGGUUUCAUCGUCACACGUCCAUUCUGCAACAUGAGGCCGUGUGUCGUGCUUCUCUUUGCCGUUUCUCUGCUGACAUUAUGUGAAGCACAAGGUGCUGCCACCUGAGUGUCCGAGUGAGGGAAGGAGAGAAUUAGUUGGGUGUCUUCGUCAUAGCUGUGGUAGGAGAAUCCAUGCGAGCGAAUGACAGCGCCGAGAGAGUUUGUGUAGAGCGAGAAGGGGACCCAGGACGGAACCCUGAGGAACUCCAGUAGUAA
ensembl:lncRNA